rnacentral:tRNA from 1 species
UGGGGUUGUGGCUCAGUGGUAGAGCACUCGCCUAGCAUGUGCGAGGCCCUGGGUUUGAUCCUCAGCACCACAA